CCUACGGGCGGCAGCAGUGGGGGAUAUUGCACAAUGGGGGAAACCCUGAUGCAGCGACGCCGCGUGUGGGAAGACGGUCCUCUGGAUUGUAAACCACUGUCCCCAGGGACGAAGAUGACGGUACCUGGGGAGGAAGCUCCGGCUAACUACGUGCAAGCAGCCGCGGUAAUACGUAGGGAGCGAGCGUUGUCCGGAAUUACUGGGUGUAAAGGGAGCGUAGGCGGGGAUGCAAGUUGGUUGGAAAAACUACCGGCUCAACUGGUAGUCGCACUCAAAACUGCAGCUCUUGAGUGAAGUAGAGGGAGGCGGAAUUCCUAGUGUAGCGGUGAAAUGCGUAGAUAUUAGGAGGAACACCAGUGGCGAAGGCGGCCUGCUGGGCUUUUACUGACGCUGAGGCUCGAAAGUGUGGGGAGCAAACAGGAUUAGAUACCCUUGUAGUC
rnacentral:rRNA from 1 species